UUAAGCGACUAAGCGUACACGGUGGAUGCCCUGGCAGUCAGAGGCGAUGAAGGACGUGCUAAUCUGCGAUAAGCGUCGGUGAGGUGAUAUGAAUCGUUAUAACCGGCGAUUUCCGAAUGGGGAAACCCAGUGUGUUUCGACACACUAUCAUUAACUGAAUCCAUAGGUUAAUGAGGCGAACCGGGGGAACUGAAACAUCUAAGUACCCCGAGGAAAAGAAAUCAACCGAGAUUCCCCCAGUAGCGGCGAGCGAACGGGGAGGAGCCCAGAGCCUGAAUCAGUGUGUGUGUUAGUGGAAGCGUCUGGAAAGGCGCGCGAUACAGGGUGACAGCCCCGUACACAAAAAUGCACAUAUUGUGAGCUCGAUGAGUAGGGCGGGACACGUGGUAUCCUGUCUGAAUAUGGGGGGACCAUCCUCCAAGGCUAAAUACUCCUGACUGACCGAUAGUGAACCAGUACCGUGAGGGAAAGGCGAAAAGAACCCCGGCGAGGGGAGUGAAAAAGAACCUGAAACCGUGUACGUACAAGCAGUGGGAGCCUCUUAAUGGGGUGACUGCGUACCUUUUGUAUAAUGGGUCAGCGACUUAUAUUCUGUAGCAAGGUUAACCGAAUAGGGGAGCCGAAGGGAAACCGAGUCUUAACUGGGCGUUAAGUUGCAGGGUAUAGACCCGAAACCCGGUGAUCUAGCCAUGGGCAGGUUGAAGGUUGGGUAACACUAACUGGAGGACCGAACCGACUAAUGUUGAAAAAUUAGCGGAUGACUUGUGGCUGGGGGUGAAAGGCCAAUCAAACCGGGAGAUAGCUGGUUCUCCCCGAAAGCUAUUUAGGUAGCGCCUCGUGAAUUCAUCUCCGGGGGUAGAGCACUGUUUCGGCAAGGGGGUCAUCCCGACUUACCAACCCGAUGCAAACUGCGAAUACCGGAGAAUGUUAUCACGGGAGACACACGGCGGGUGCUAACGUCCGUCGUGAAGAGGGAAACAACCCAGACCGCCAGCUAAGGUCCCAAAGUCAUGGUUAAGUGGGAAACGAUGUGGGAAGGCCCAGACAGCCAGGAUGUUGGCUUAGAAGCAGCCAUCAUUUAAAGAAAGCGUAAUAGCUCACUGGUCGAGUCGGCCUGCGCGGAAGAUGUAACGGGGCUAAACCAUGCACCGAAGCUGCGGCAGCGACGCUUAUGCGUUGUUGGGUAGGGGAGCGUUCUGUAAGCCUGUGAAGGUGGCCUGUGAGGGUUGCUGGAGGUAUCAGAAGUGCGAAUGCUGACAUAAGUAACGAUAAAGCGGGUGAAAAGCCCGCUCGCCGGAAGACCAAGGGUUCCUGUCCAACGUUAAUCGGGGCAGGGUGAGUCGACCCCUAAGGCGAGGCCGAAAGGCGUAGUCGAUGGGAAACAGGUUAAUAUUCCUGUACUUGGUGUUACUGCGAAGGGGGGACGGAGAAGGCUAUGUUGGCCGGGCGACGGUUGUCCCGGUUUAAGCGUGUAGGCUGGUUUUCCAGGCAAAUCCGGAAAACCAAGGCUGAGGCGUGAUGACGAGGCACUACGGUGCUGAAGCGACAAAUGCCCUGCUUCCAGGAAAAGCCUCUAAGCAUCAGGUAACAUCAAAUCGUACCCCAAACCGACACAGGUGGUCAGGUAGAGAAUACCAAGGCGCUUGAGAGAACUCGGGUGAAGGAACUAGGCAAAAUGGUGCCGUAACUUCGGGAGAAGGCACGCUGAUAUGUAGGUGAAGCGACUUGCUCGUGGAGCUGAAAUCAGUCGAAGAUACCAGCUGGCUGCAACUGUUUAUUAAAAACACAGCACUGUGCAAACACGAAAGUGGACGUAUACGGUGUGACGCCUGCCCGGUGCCGGAAGGUUAAUUGAUGGGGUUAGCGGUAACGCGAAGCUCUUGAUCGAAGCCCCGGUAAACGGCGGCCGUAACUAUAACGGUCCUAAGGUAGCGAAAUUCCUUGUCGGGUAAGUUCCGACCUGCACGAAUGGCGUAAUGAUGGCCAGGCUGUCUCCACCCGAGACUCAGUGAAAUUGAACUCGCUGUGAAGAUGCAGUGUACCCGCGGCAAGACGGAAAGACCCCGUGAACCUUUACUAUAGCUUGACACUGAACAUUGAGCCUUGAUGUGUAGGAUAGGUGGGAGGCUUUGAAGUGUGGACGCCAGUCUGCAUGGAGCCGACCUUGAAAUACCACCCUUUAAUGUUUGAUGUUCUAACGUUGGCCCCUAAUCGGGGUUGCGGACAGUGUCUGGUGGGUAGUUUGACUGGGGCGGUCUCCUCCUAAAGAGUAACGGAGGAGCACGAAGGUUGGCUAAUCCUGGUCGGACAUCAGGAGGUUAGUGCAAUGGCAUAAGCCAGCUUGACUGCGAGCGUGACGGCGCGAGCAGGUGCGAAAGCAGGUCAUAGUGAUCCGGUGGUUCUGAAUGGAAGGGCCAUCGCUCAACGGAUAAAAGGUACUCCGGGGAUAACAGGCUGAUACCGCCCAAGAGUUCAUAUCGACGGCGGUGUUUGGCACCUCGAUGUCGGCUCAUCACAUCCUGGGGCUGAAGUAGGUCCCAAGGGUAUGGCUGUUCGCCAUUUAAAGUGGUACGCGAGCUGGGUUUAGAACGUCGUGAGACAGUUCGGUCCCUAUCUGCCGUGGGCGCUGGAGAACUGAGGGGGGCUGCUCCUAGUACGAGAGGACCGGAGUGGACGCAUCACUGGUGUUCGGGUUGUCAUGCCAAUGGCACUGCCCGGUAGCUAAAUGCGGAAGAGAUAAGUGCUGAAAGCAUCUAAGCACGAAACUUGCCCCGAGAUGAGUUCUCCCUGAGACUUAGAGUCUCCUGAAGGAACGUUGAAGACGACGACGUUGAUAGGCCGGGUGUGUAAGCGCAGCGAUGCGUUGAGCUAACCGGUACUAAUGAACCGUGAGGCUUAACCUU
rnacentral:rRNA from 2 species